AUUUCAGUGAGUUGAUGUUAAAUUACACUUUAGGCGAGUACAUCCAAUUUCCGGUCAUUGCGGAUCACUUCCCUUUUGACUGAUGGCGGACAACCACGAGGAGACGGCAGUGCAAAAAUAGCUCGCUAUCGUUUUUUUCAAUCUGCAGACAACCGACAGAGAUUAGCGCUGCAAAGCUUUCGUCAUGUUGGUUAAAGUUCAGUACAAGGUGUGAAGAAAUUUAUAAAAUUGCUUAAUGAUUUUACAUUCCAAGAUUUUCUCAUUGAAGUUCAAAGCAAAUUUGGGCUUGCUACAACUGCAGUUCUUCAAGUCUUUGAUGACACGGACACCAGUGUGGAUGAGGACAUCUUCCAAGAACUAAUUGAAGAACAAAUUUAUCCCUAUAAGAUGUCUGGAAGAAAUUUCUGCUGGCCUGCCUGAGGUGAUUUGGCCAACAAGAUCCUCAACACAAAGCACUUGCAUUGAUACUCUUUCAGUCUCUUCCACUGACUAUGAGGAGAGAGAACCAACAGUGCAUAUUCAGUCAGCAAGGGCCAGCAGUAAAGAAGCCUUGAAUUCUGAAAAGGCAAAACAGAAUGUCCAAGAUGCCCCAGAAAAACACUCUGGUGGUGAGGAUAAGCUUACAGAAUACCAGACAACAAAGACUUUAAAGCACAGUACCAGACGCCAACUUGUGAAUAUUGUUGUCAGUCACAUGACUGAGACUUACGG